rnacentral:rRNA from 1 species
AGAUGGGAGCUUGCUCCCUGAUGUUAGCGGCGGACGGGUGAGUAACACGUGGGUAACCUGCCUGUAAGACUGGGAUAACUCCGGGAAACCGGGGCUAAUACCGGAUGCUUGUUUGAACCGCAUGGUUCAAACAUAAAAGGUGGCUUCGGCUACCACUUACAGAUGGACCCGCGGCGCAUUAGCUAGUUGGUGAGGUAACGGCUCACCAAGGCAACGAUGCGUAGCCGACCUGAGAGGGUGAUCGGCCACACUGGGACUGAGACACGGCCCAGACUCCUACGGGAGGCAGCAGUAGGGAAUCUUCCGCAAUGGACGAAAGUCUGACGGAGCAACGCCGCGUGAGUGAUGAAGGUUUUCGGAUCGUAAAGCUCUGUUGUUAGGGAAGAACAAGUACCGUUCGAAUAGGGCGGUACCUUGACGGUACCUAACCAGAAAGCCACGGCUAACUACGUGCCAGCAGCCGCGGUAAUACGUAGGUGGCAAGCGUUGUCCGGAAUUAUUGGGCGUAAAGGGCUCGCAGGCGGUUCCUUAAGUCUGAUGUGAAAGCCCCCGGCUCAACCGGGGAGGGUCAUUGGAAACUGGGGAACUUGAGUGCAGAAGAGGAGAGUGGAAUUCCACGU